rnacentral:rRNA from 1 species
AUUGAACGCUGGCGGCAGGCGUAACACAUGCAAGUCGAGCGGAGCGGCGGACGGGUGGGGAAGGCCUAGGAAUCUGCCUGGUCGUGCGGGUUAACGUCCGGAGCCGGGCGCUAAUACCGCAAACUCUCAGCCGAGCAUAGGUCGGAUUGGCUAGUGGGUGGGGGAAAGGCCUACCAGGGCGCCGAGCCGUAACUGGUCUGAGAGGAUGAUCAGGCCCACUGGAACGGAGACACGGUCCAGACUCCAACGGUAGGCAGCAGUGGGGAACAGGUGACAAUGGGCGAAAGGCUGGUCCAGCCAUGCCGCGUGUGGGAAGAAGGUCUUCGGAUAGUAAAGCACUUUAAGUUGGGAGGCGUUACCAACAGAAUAAGGACCGGCUAACUCCGUGCCAGCAGCCGCGGUAAUUC